rnacentral:rRNA from 1 species
CCUACGGGAGGCAGCAGUGGGGGAUAUUGGACAAUGGGGGGAACCCUGAUCCAGCGACGCCGCGUGAGUGAAGAAGUAUUUCGGUAUGUAAAGCUCUGUCAGCAGGGAAGAAAGAAAUGACGGUACCUGACCAAGAAGCCCCGGCUAACUACGUGCCAGCAGCCGCGGUAAUACGUAGGGGGCAAGCGUUAUCCGGAAUUACUGGGUGUAAAGGGAGCGUAGACGGUUAAGUAAGUCUGGAGUGAAAGGCCGGGGCCCAACCCCGGGACUGCUCUGGAAACUAUUGAACUUGAGUGCAGGAGAGGUAAGCGGAAGUCCUAGUGUAGCGGUGAAAUGCGUAGAUAUCAGGAGGAACACCGGCGGCGAAGGCGGCCUGCUGGACUGAAACUGACGUUGAGGCUCGAAAGCGUGGGGAGCAAACAGGAUUAGAUACCCCAGUAGUC